GGGAGCACACAGGGCAUAUCUAUGGAACAGCAAGAAGCUCAGUACGGCUGGGGCCAGGCCCAUACUGGCUGCUGAGUUGACAGAUUAUAGGAAAAUGAGAGUAGAAGUGGAGAAACCAGUAAGGAAGUUACUGCACUAUUCCAGGCUAGUCAAAUGAAGCAGCGGGAGUGAAGAAGGAACAAAGAAAUCUAUAACCAGCUGUGAUCGAUUCGUUGUAAAAUACAACCUCACUGGGAC